GUUCUACAUGGAACCCAAAAGGGUUCUAUCUGGAACCAAAAAAGGUUAUCAUAUGUGGAAGGCCAAAGAACACUUUUGGAGCCCUUUUUUCUAAGAGAGUAUGGUGGAUGUCUUUUUCAAUUAUAUAUUUGUCAUUCCAUGAUGAUAGUUUGUGUUUUUAUGAUGUUGUGAAGCUUAACAUGCCAAACAAAUGCCCCAAGCUAAUCUCCCUGUCCAGUGAAGAUGCCCCUGUUGAAGAGAGCCAAGUAGGGACCCAGGGGUUCUUACGGAGGGCCAGUACAGCCGACUCCAGAACCUCUUCGUUCCCCCAGCCAAGAAGCAGCAGCGACCUAGAAGUUCCACACAGCACAGAGACCGUGACAGAGGGAGACGACACGAUGAACACCAGAGGCAGCGGAAAACGCCAAAAAGAUGACAAGCCUGUUGAUAGCACGAGUGCUGAUCCAAAGCUGAGAGCUGAGCUCCAGGCAGAAAAAGACAAGAACAAAGUGCUGCUGUACACCAUAACCAGCUUGAAGGAAGACAAGGUCUUCCUCCAAAGCCAGCUGGCUUCCCCAAGAGUUAGUCUGUGUGUAAGGUCCGACCAGCAGUAGGCUACAUGCUCGAAUCAGGCGGAGACUCCAGCAGCGAGGGGCAAUCAACCAGGGGACUGCAGCAGGGACUCGUCCUCAUCAUCUUCCUCUGUCUCUGAAGAGGAAAAUCCAUCAAAGAAGAAGAAGAAGACACAGCUCUGAGGGUGAGCAGAGAAGAAUGAAAACAAUGAAUGGUUUUAUGCAGAGGUACAACCAUAUCCGCAGGAAGUAGGGGUGCUGAAGGUGCUGCAGCACCCUCUGAUAAAUGUAAAUACAUAUAUAAUUACUCCUGUCUUGCAUAGUCGAGAAAGCCGCGAUUUGAGCAGUUUUAUGCAUUGCGGCCAUAGAAAUAGAAUCCAUAGAAGGGUGUUGGAACCUCUAACACUGGCAAUUUGACUGGUAAACGUAUGGUACACUCAAGAUGGCUGCAACUCCUGACUUGAAUGGGUACGGACGAUCUAUGGAUUCUAUUUCUAGGGUUGAAAAUGCAAUUGCGGUAAAAACGUACAGUUUGGAAAGCAAGAGCCUAUUUCUGAAAAGAGAAUACUAGGCUAAUUUGUCUGUAGAAGCUACCACAUGUUUUCUCAACAACUCCAAAUAAAAUGUCAGACUUAAUUUGCCCCCUCAAAAAAUGUAUCAACCCCUACAUAAAUGUCCAUGAAUACGUAUUUAUUUGGAUAGUUAAGCUAAAACUUUUAAUUUGGCUCUAUACGCCAGUAUUUUGAAUUUGAGAUCAAAUGUGAGGGGUCUUUUAAAUGAGGUGACAAUAGAGAAUGUCGCCUUUUAUUUUAGGGUAUUUUCAUACAUAUCCGUUUAGAAAUUAAUGCACUUUAUGUACUGUAUCUAGUCCCCCCCAUUUGAAGGUGUUAUAAGUAUUUGGACAAAUUUACUUAUAGUGUAUUCAAUUUAGUAAAAAGUUUUGUGUUUGGUCCCAUUUUCCUAGCAUGCAAUGACUACAUCAAGCUUGUGACUCUACUAAUUUGUUGGGUGCCAUUGCAGUUUGCUUUGGGUGUGUUUCGGAUUGUGUUGUGCUCAAUAAAAAUGUA